rnacentral:tRNA from 1 species
AAACUUGUAGCUCAGAGGUUUUAGAGCGUGUGCCUGAUAAGCGCAAGGUCGUUAGUUCAAGUCUAACCAAGUUUA